CCUACGGGUGGCAGCAGUGAGGAAUAUUGGUCAAUGGCCGAGAGGCUGAACCAGCCAAGUAGCGUGAAGGAUGACUGCUCUAUGGGUUGUAAACUUCUUUUAUAAAGGAAUAAAACGAGCCACGUGUGCCUUUUUGCAUGUACUUUAUGAAUAAGGAUCGGCUAACUCCGUGCCAGCAGCCGCGGUAAUACGGAGGAUGCGAGCGUUAUCCGGAUUUAUUGGGUUUAAAGGGAGCGUAGGUGGGUUUUUAAGUCAGCUGUGAAAGUUUGUGGCUCAACCGUAAAAUUGCAAUUGAAACUGGAAGUCUUGAGUACAGUUGAGGUAGGCGGAAUGCGUGGUGUAGCGGUGAAAUGCUUAGAUAUCACGCAGAACCCCGAUUGCGAAGGCAGCUUACUAAGCUGUGACUGACAUUGAUGCUCGAAAGCGUGGGGAUCAAACAGGAUUAGAUACCCGAGUAGUC
rnacentral:rRNA from 1 species